rnacentral:rRNA from 1 species
GAGUUUGAUCAUGGCUCAGAACGAACGCUGGCGGCAUGCCUAACACAUGCAAGUCGAACGGACCCUUCGGGGUUAGUGGCGCACGGGUGCGUAACGCGUGGGAAUCUGCCCUUAGGUACGGAAUAACUCAGCGAAAGUUGUGCUAAUACCGUAUGAAGUCUUCGGACCAAAGAUUUAUCGCCUGAGGAUGAGCCCGCGUUGGAUUAGCUAGUUGGUGAGGUAAAGGCUCACCAAGGCGACGAUCCAUAGCUGGUCUGAGAGGAUGAUCAGCCACACUGGGACUGAGACACGGCCCAGACUCCUACGGGAGGCAGCAGUGGGGAAUAUUGGACAAUGGGGGCAACCCUGAUCCAGCAAUGCCGCGUGAGUGAUGAAGGCCUUAGGGUUGUAAAGCUCUUUUACCCGGGAAGAUAAUGACUGUACCGGGAGAAUAAGCCCCGGCUAACUCCGUGCCAGCAGCCGCAGU